rnacentral:rRNA from 1 species
CAAAAAAGUUUAUCUUCUCCACGUCUCUUACUCUCCCUGUAAAAAAAUCCCAAUCGUGCGCCAUAGUCUCUCCUCCUCCCCACGGUCUCCUCCUCACGUUCUCUCCUCCCCAUGGUCUCCUCCUCCCCAGAGAAAGGAAAUCAAUCAUAUCUCUCAAAUUGGAGCAAGGAAAUUAGGAAAUUGAUCUGGUGCGCUCACGCCAUGGAAUCUCUCCUCCUCCUCCCAUGGAAAAAACAAACAAAUCUCUCUCAAAUUGGAGCAACCAAGUUGGGGAAUAGACCAGUCCUAGGAUUCAAUCCUAGGUUUGCUGACAUACGCUCUUUGGGCACUUCGUGGAGAUCGCGAUGGUGCAGAACCAAGCCCAUGCCGCCAUCUUAUAAUUAACUGCAGCCUGAAACAAAAUAUCUACACAUAAAGGAGGCUCCUGUCGGUCGUGAACAUCGUCGCUGGUGAACCUUCUCCUGUUUGGUCAACUCCUUUUGUUUACCUUCAAAACAAUGGCAUACGAUAUGCUCCAUGAGAUUAGCAAUCAGAAGGAUUCCUGGAAAGUCAAGGUCAGAAUAAUUAGGCUAUGGGAUGCCAUUAAUCUCAACAACAAUGAACUAAUUAGCCUUGACAUGAUACUACUUGAUGAAGAGGGUACUAUGAUACAUGGCAAGGUAAUGAAGCAUAUGUUUAACAAGUUUAGACCAUUGAUCCAAGAAGGUUUAGUCUACAUGAUAGCAAAUUUUAAGGUUAUGUCUGCAAUAAAUUUAUGUCCAGUUGAAAGCGAAAAGGUUCUAAAUUUCUUGCACACGACAAAAAUUCAAGAGAUAAAAGGUCAAAAAAAUAUCAAAAUAGCAGAACAAAGCUUCACGUUUUGUACUGUUGAAGUUCUUUCCACAAGAGACAGCCAAAAGAUUUACUUAUCUGGUAUGAUUAUAUUUGUUUCAAUUAUUAACUUCCAUGUAUUAUGCAUAUUAAUACCACUUUAUUAGCAGAUGUCAUUGGCAUAGCAAGUUACAUAGGACAUAUUGAAGAAACACAGACAACCCACGGGAUUUCAAAGAUUCAAGAUAUUGUGCUUUGAAUUGAAGUACUCGCUGUCAUCUACAGGUGCGACCAGAGUAUAUAUCGAUUUGGAUAUCCCUGAAACAAAUGAGCUUCAAACGAGGUAUUGCUUGCAAGAUGAUAUGGUAGAAGAAAUAGAGCCGGAAGCCCACUUGCAAGGCACAAUUCAAGAACAGAUGCUCUAUAACAGAAGAACCCUAAAAGAAAUAACUGAAAUUACAUAUGAAUCUGAAAAACAGGAAAAGUUCUAUACUACCGAAGCAAUGAUUAAGUCAAUUAAUACAUCAGAUGAGUGGUACUACAUAGGAUGCUGCAAAUGCAACAAAAAAGUACAGAAACAAGGGAACCACUUCUACUGUCCGAAAUGUCAAAAAGAACCUGAGAAGAUAUGUCCAAGGUACAAACUGAAACUAGAGAUAUUUGAUCUGAGUGCAACAACAACUUGCACCAUGUUUGAGGCAGAAGCAAAAAAAUUGAUUAAGUAAUCUGCAAGUUUUUUGAUAGAGAGGGAUGAUUGUGAUAUCCAUGAGUAGACAAAAGAAAUCCAGAAAAUGUGUGGGCAGAGAUUGAUUUUUCAAUUCAGAUUGAAUGACUAUAAUUUGAAGUACGGUUAUCAAGAAUACACUGUUCAUAGAAUCUUUUUCAUAGAUUCUGAAAAAGAUACAUCAGUACAUCAUUCAAAUGUUGAGCAGAUGGAGGAUGAUAAACCCAUUCUAAUAGACACUAAAAAGACUAGGAGGACUAGGAACACACGUCAUGUACAUUCUGAUGAAGAAUCGGAAAAUCUGGAUAGUCAAGAGAAAGAUGAAUCUAUAUCUGUUGUUGAUAAGAAAUCUAAGAAAAAGGGAAUUCAAAAAGAUAGCCAUGUAAGUUUUUUGCUGCAUUUGUUUAUUCUUUCAUAGUUCUGCAAGUCACUAAUUGUUCCAAAUGUUUUGGCAAGAGCAAGCGGACAAGUUAUCAGUUAUGAAAACUAUAAAGCAAGAACCAGAGGAUGAUGAACCCACUAUUAACCGGACUAAAAGGGGUAGGAGAAGUAGCACAACUCAUGUUGUACACCUUGAUGAAGAACCAAAAACUGAAGGUAGUCAGGAAAUAAUGAAAUCAAAAUCUAUGGAAGCAGGCCCCAAGAGGAAACGCGCCGUAACUCACAAAUGUGCUGGUAUUGAUAGCAAACAAGUAAACAAUCACCAUGAAGAAGAAUCAGAACAGGCAGGUACUCAGGAGCACAAUGAUUCAAGGCCUAGGACAAGGCGUAGUUGUGCCAAUAAAGAAUUGAUGAACAAAGACAUUCAGAAGUGUGGUGUAUCAAGAACUCAAAAGUCAAAUCAUUGAUUAGUGGAAAUCCAGUUAUUUAGCAUGUAAUAGAACAUAUAGGAGCAUCAGAUUUGUACUUUAUAUGAACAUCAUUGUUUAAGAUUGGUUUUAAUAAAUGUAAAUGCGUACCUUCGUGUUAGUAAAGUCAUUAGUGAAAAACAGCCACAUGUGGUGGUACAUCAGUUUUACAAAAAAAAUUGUCAUUUAUCGUACACAUAUUAGCGAUUUUGACAUGUUCAUCCGCUAUAGAAUAGGCCUCUCGACGACAUACAAAUUUUCACAUGUUGAGACACUACAGAGAAAGCAUAUGACAGCCAAACAAUCAACGAUGUGCACAUCAUCAUCUGUUCUCGCCAAGAGCCCAUCAUGCGUGGAACUAACGACCACUAAAACUGAAGUGCACCACUUAGUAAUCUGCAUUGCCAAUCAAUAGGUCAUUCCAUCUUGCCAUCUAGACAUAUCAUGUGUGACCAGCCAUGACUCAGAUUUUAAUUGGAAUGAAAUAGGUUAAAUAUUAUAAUUCUUUAAAGAAAAACAAUUCUGUCGAGAUAAGGAGUCGUGUGUGUAACAUACAAUUCUCUGAAGAAAAACAAUGGGUAGACAAGACGUGUAAGAAACAGAGACGUGCAUAUAUUUUAGUAUACAUGGAAACUGACUUCAAGUAGGAGCCAUCUAUCUGGUGACACAAAAUAAUAACGGCUCAGAUAUUGUAUAGGUUUAAAACGUACAGAUGACAAACUCUAACCUACAAACUCUAGCCUUAACUACGCUUCUUUACAAAUAAGAAUUCUAUAUCGACUCAAUUCGUGCACAUCCAGGCAAGACAUCGCCCCUGAUCUCAUCCUUCAUCACAUACAUGCAAUAAUUAGUCCUCUCGCCAGCAAUAAGAAGCAGACAGGUUGUGUGGCAGUACUUGCAGAGAGAAAGCGCCGAUAAACUUGGGAUUCAGAUCACUAAUUACAGAGCGUGCACAUCACGGCAAGACAUUGCCGUCCUCUCGCAAGCAGCAAGGAGCAGACAGAGAAAGUGGCGAUAAACUUGAGAUUCAGAUCACCAAUUACAGAGCAUAUAUGUCCUCUCAUUGGAAGGAUUCACUAGCCGCAGUCAACAUGCGUCGAACACGCACUAGAGCAAAUCAAAACAACGAAAGGAAUAUGUGGCGUCAUCAAGGAAUCCAAAUACCUGAGCAAGCAGCCUCUAAACUAGCAACACUCGAAUCUAAUGAUAGUCAAUCAGACAUCAUUAGAGCAGCAGCAAAGGAAGCUAGGCGGAAAACGAAAGAAUCCUCCAGCUGAAAAAGGCAAGCAAAUGACUAAGGACAGAAAAGGGCAAUGAUUGUGAAGUAUCUAAUGUAGCGAAGGAUGUCACUCAAGUUUCAUAUCUGGGAAAACCAAAUUGUGUUUGUGAAUUUUGCAAUGCCAUUAUGUGGCAUGGAGAGAGAAGCACAAGCACAGGUAACAUCACAGUUCCAAAAUUUGGUCUCUGCUGCAAGGAAGGGAAAGUUAAAUUACCACCACUGAAGCAAGCUCCGCUGUAUCGCCGACAGCUACUAUGUUACAAUGAAAAAGGAGAAUCAUCAAAUUUUCGCCAGAACAUCAGGUUGUACAACUCGAUGUUCGCAUUCACUCCAAUGGGAGGAAAGGUUGACUAUGAAAUUAAUAAGCAGGCAUCUAGACCGUAUGUUUUCCGUUUGAAUGGCAAGAAUUACCAUCAGAUUGGCACUUUACUUCCUAAGGAUGACGUAACGAAACCAAAAUUUGCCCAAUUGUACAUACAUGACACAGAAAAUGAAGUGUGGAAUAGGAUUAAUGCAUCUGCUUCAACGGAGAGUAAGACACAACCAGAUGAAAACAUUGUCAAAGGACUACUGGAGAUGCUUGAUGAGCACAAUGUUUUAGUCAAAUCAUUUCGUAUGGCAAGGGACAGAUUCCAAAACCGACGUAUUAAAGAUGUAAGACUAAGAUUGAUCAACAAAAGGUCGAAAGAUGGACGGCAAUACAACCUACCAUCUGCCUCAGAAGUCGCAGCACUAAUUAUUGGGGAACAAGAUGGAGAAAAUAAUUUUGAUAUAAUAGUUGAGACCAAAGACAGAAUGUUGUAGAGGAUUUCAGAGUUGCACCCAAGCUAUAUGUCAAUGCAGUACCCCUUGCUUUUUCCAUAUGGAGAAGAUGGUUUCAGACCAGAAAUAGAGUAUGAAAAUAAAAGAGGCAGCAAAGGUAGAAGAAAGUAUGUAACAAUGCUGGAGUUUUAUGCGUAUCGCAUACAACAACGUCUGAACCAAGCUUCAACAUUGCAAAUGAGUGGACGUUUGUUCCUGCAGUUCUUAGUUGAUGCAGCAACGUGCAUUGAACAGUGGAGACUAAAUUGGUACAGGACAAACCAAGGUAAGUUGAGGACAGAACUGUACAGAGGACUGCAUGAUGCAAUAGAAAAUGGAGAUACACGAACUGAACAAGUUGGACAAAUAUGUCCAGAUCCUCUUUGAGUCCGGGAUCGAGGGCCCGAUCAGGGUCCUCUGGUUGUGGAGGCGGGCUGUGGACCUCCCUCACAGCUUUUCGCAGCUCCUACUUUGAAACAGCAAGGUAAAUAUUUAUGACAAAGAAAGCAGGAAGGUCUGGAGUAAAAAGUGGCAGCUCACCCAGCUUGGAGGGUUGUACAUGGAGAAUCCAUCCCGUGGCUUAAUGCGGAUGAACUCCUCUUCCUCUCCUUUGUACAAAUCGGACAGGAUUUUUGCUAGAGCAGCAACUGAGUCCGGUCCCUUACGACCGCAGCGGGUGGCAUCGUCUUCUCCGUUGAAGUGCCACAUGGGUUGCCCCCGAUAUUGAAGUGGCUGUACCCCCCACAUUAUACAUAUUGACAUAACCUCAAUUAUUGUCAAUCCUGACUGGGCCAGCGUCUGUAUCCGACUCAUCAGGUAAAGGACUUCCCCGUUAUCUUCCUCCUGAGGGCUCCGAGGGCGCCAGCUGCGGCGUUUCUUCAAGGGAGUAUUGUCGAACUCAGGAAGGCCCAUCCGAAUAGGGUCCGGAAGGGGGACGUCCUCCGUAUAAAACCACUCCGAAGGCCAGUCCUCGGAUGUCUUCUUCGGAGUACCGGACAGGUAUCCGGUCCCGGCGAUGCGCCAUAUUUCGGCUCCGCCCACUUGGUAUAUUGACCCCUCCUGUGUACGGGGUACGAGGCAGAAUAGCCUCUUCCAUAGCUCGAAAUGAGCUUCGCAGCCCAGAAACAGCUCGCAAAGGGCGACAUAGCCAGCGAUGUGUAGUAUGGAGGCAGGAGUAAAAUUAUGCAGCUGGAGGCCGUAGAAGCCUGGUUCGGAGGCCCGCCUUGCAAUGCCGAAUACAAUCUGCGCGCCGGACUCGUCGCCAUUGAAGCCUGGUUCGGGGGCUACUGAGGGAGUCCUGGAUUAGGGGGUCCUCGAACAGCCGGACUAUAUCCUUUGGCCGGACUGUUGGACUAUGAAGAUACAAGAUUGAAGACUUCGACCCGUGUCCGGAUGGGACUCUCCUUUGCGUGGAAGGCAAGCUUGGCAAUAUGGAUAUGUAGAUCUCCUCCCUUGUAACCGACUCUGUGUAACCCUAGCCCCCUCCAGUGUCUAUAUAAACUGGAGGGUUUAGUCCGUAGGACAACAACAAUCAUACCAUAGGCUAGCUUCUAAGGUUUAGCCUCUAUGAUCUCGUGGUAGAUCAACUCUUGUAAUACUCAUAUCAUCAAGAUUAAUCAAGCAGGAAGUAGGGUAUUACCUCCAUCGAGAGGGCCCGAACCUGGGUAAACAUCGUGUCCCCCGCCUCCUGUUACCACCCGCCUUAGACGCACAGUUCGGGACCCCCUACCCGAGAUCCGCCGGUUUUGACACCGACAGCAAUAACGGGCCGUCGUAUCACAAAACUCCACCUCCCCGCAGUCUAAGUUUGACGGACGAAGCAACCAUCAUUUCACUCUUCGCUGAAUCCCCUUCUCCCUCACCGUCUUCAGGAAAGGCAACACUCGCAUAUGCCACUGUUCUUCUCUCCCAAUGAACGGAAG